rnacentral:rRNA from 1 species
AGAGUUUGAUCAUGGCUCAGAACGAACGCUGGCGGCACGCUUAACACAUGCAAGUCAAGGGGAAAGGGCUUCGGCCUGAGUACACUGGCGCACGGGUGAGUAACGCGUGAGGAAUCUGCCCAUAAGACUGGGAUAACACACCGAAAGGUGUGCUAAUACUGGAUGUGUUCCGUAGGCGCAUGCUUAUGGAGUAAAGGCGGGGUAACCUGUCGCUUAUGGAUGACCUCGCGUCCGAUUAGCUAGUUGGUGGGGUAACGGCCUACCAAGGCUACGAUCGGUAGCCGGCCUGAGAGGGUGGCCGGCCACACUGGAACUGAGACACGGUCCAGACUCCUACGGGAGGCAGCAGUGGGGAAUCUUGCGCAAUGGGGGCAACCCUGACGCAGCGAUGCCGCGUGGACGAAGAAGGCCUUCGGGUCGUAAAGUCCUUUCGCUGGGGAAGAAAGUUAUUAGUAGUAACUGACUGAUAGUUGACGGUACCCAGAUAAGCAGCCCCGGCUAACUCCGUGCCAGCAGCCGCGGUAAUAC